GACGUAGGGCGCGAGCGUUGUCCGGAUUUAUUGGGCGUAAAGAGCUCGUAGGCGGCUUGUUGCGUCGUCCGUGAAAACCCACGGCUUAACUGUGGGCUUGCGGUCGAUACGGGCGGGCUGGAGUUCGGUAGGGGAGACUGGAAUUCCUGGUGUAGCGGUGAAAUGCGCAGAUAUCAGGAGGAACACCGGUGGCGAAGGCGGGUCGCUGGGCAACAACUGACGCUGAGGAGCGAAAGCGUGGGGAGCGAACAGG
rnacentral:rRNA from 1 species